rnacentral:rRNA from 1 species
GAUGAACGCUGGCGGCGUGCUUAACACAUGCAAGUCGAGCGAACAGAUGAGGAUUUUGUUCCUUUGACGUGUGCCGCGGACGGGUGUGAAACACGUGGAUAAUCUACCUAUAAGUCUGGUAUAAUUUCGGGACACCGGAUCUAAUACCGUAUAAGCUAUUGCACCACAUUGUUGAUUAGUGAGAUACGGCGGUGCUGUCAGGUAUAGAUGGUUAUGGGCCGGAUUAGCUAGUUGUUAAGGUAACGGGUUAUCAAGGCAACGAGGCGUAGCCGACCUGAGAGGGUGAUCGGCCACACUGGAACUGAGACGCGGUCAAGGCUCCUACGGGAGGCAGCAGUAGGGAAUCUUACGCAGUGGGCGGGAGCAUGACAGAGCGGGCGCGAGCCAGAGGUGGAGAUCUUCGGAUCGUGAUGCUCUGUUAUUGGGGAAGAACAGAUGUGUACGUAGCUGUGGCGGUCUUGACGGUACCUGGUCAGGAAGCAACGGCUAACUACGUG